GAACGCUGGCGGCAGGCCUAACACAUGCAAGUCGAGCGGUAACAGAAAGAAAGCUUGCUUUCUUUGCUGACGAGCGGCGGACGGGUGAGUAAUGCCUGGGAAUAUGCCUUAGUGUGGGGGAUAACUAUUGGAAACGAUAGCUAAUACCGCAUAACGUCUUCGGACCAAAGAGGGGGACCUUCGGGCCUCUCGCGCUAAGAUUAGCCCAGGUGGGAUUAGCUAGUUGGUGAGGUAAAGGCUCACCAAGGCAACGAUCCCUAGCUGGUCUGAGAGGAUGAUCAGCCACACUGGAACUGAGACACGGUCCAGACUCCUACGGGAGGCAGCAGUGGGAAUAUUGCACAAUGGGGGAAACCCUGAUGCAGCCAUGCCGCGUGUAUGAAGAAGGCCUUCGGGUUGUAAAGUACUUUCAGUCGUGAGGAAGGGUGUGUAGUUAAUAGCUGCAUGCCUUGACGUUAGCGACAGAAGAAGCACCGGCUAACUCCGUG
rnacentral:rRNA from 1 species